rnacentral:tRNA from 1 species
CUGCCAUGUCGCUCAGCCGGUGCGCGCCCGCGCCCUAGGGUGGCGCGCGACGAUCGAGGGGGCGGUUCGAUGACAUCCAUGGCCGA